GAUAAUUCCUGGAAUUAUCUGAAUACACUUCUAAAGCUUUCCAAAACAUUUAAACCCAAAAUAAAGGACUUUCCAAAUAUUUCUAAAGAUUUCCAACAUAUUUUGCAGCUAGUACUCAUAGAUCUUUCAUGAAUUGUUGAGAGAUUUGAUAUUGAUAGAUAGAUGUUGAAUCCUAUUUAUGUAUUUUUAUUAUUAGAACCGUUUUUUUUAAUAUUUGUGUGUAAUUAUAAUUAGGUGGGAACUACUCAACUUCCUAAAUUUUCUCGAUUUAUCUGAGGCACGAUGAGUCUACAACACUACUUCGAUCCUUUACUAGCACCAAAGGGAAUUACAGAAAGAGGGAAAAAUAAGAGAAACCGCUUUUUGGUGCUUAUUUCUUUUUAGAUUUUUGGCUCCAAAAGAAUUUCAGGAAAACCACCAUAUAUAUGAGAAAACAAGCGAAGGAGUUUCGUUGCAAAGAAAAGCCAAAAUUUCUGAACUUGAGAAGAAGACCAGGAAAGGUCGUGGCAAGACUAGAGGGAAAGGUCUUGAAAAAAUGAAGAAGGCUACGGGAAGCAAGAUGAAAAUAGAAAUCCCAAUUGGUAAAGGAAGACCAACUAAGCCAAUUCAAUCAGCCAAACUAUCCAAUGAAUUAGGGAUAAUUGCUCAAAAUUUUCUUCCACUUCCAAACAAGUGGAAGGAACUUACAAUAGAGGACAAAGAUGUAGCACUAAUUAGAUGCCACGUAAGGAUUCUGUACUCUUUUAAAAUUUAUAUAUUACAUGAUAAGCAAAAAAUCUAUGAUUUUAAGAACAUUGGAGUUUUAAGGUACUAAGCAUGUUAGCAGAUAUUAUGAUUUUAUUUUUAAAUUAAAAGGGAUUUCGGUUGUUUUGUGUGUUUCUUUAAUACUUAUUUGUUUUUUACGAGAGGUUUGACAUUAAUUUGGAUGAGCAUUAUGUGAACGAUAGUUGUAAGGAUAUUCUGAAAAAUAGAAGCCGACAAUAGCGCUACAAGUUAAAAAAAAAAUUUGAAAGUGCAUGCUCCGUGGAAGAGGCUCGUAAAAUGGAAAUCGAACAGUUGACCUCAGAAAAUUGGAAUAAGCUUUGCGACAUGUGGAACGAUCCAGAGCACAAGGUAAUUUAUAUUUAUGUUAUUCUCAUUGAUAUUUAAGUUAAGAUGUUUAUAUUUUCUUUGUAGAAACGAUGCAAAAUAAACAAGGGCAAUCGAACAAAGCUUAAAUCUAAUCAUUUCAUGGGAUCAAAAGAAUUUGUAGCAGCUCGUCCUGAAAUUUGUGAAAAGGAAUCUGAAGGUAUAGAGCCUGACAGAAUUGAGUUCUAUAAGCAUACCCAUUACACGAGUGAAAAAAGAUGGUCAUCUGAAGAAGCUGAGACUAACUAUAACAACAUGAACGAUUUGAAAGCUCUAUAUACUUCUGGAGAGUUUUCCAUGAUUAUUGAUGAAAUUGUAGAUGCUGUACUUAGUACUAAGUUGGGGGUACAUAAAAGGUCUUAGUUAUAGUACUAAACCUAAUACUAUAAGGGCAACACAAAGGAAAAUGACAGAGUUAGAAGACUACCACAAAAAGGCAAAACUGGAAGCUACUAGUGCUCAAGAUGAGUUACAGAAAUGAUUAAAUGCAGCUGAGACUGUGGUAGAAAGCCAGAAAUCACAGAUACAAGACCAGCAUUAAUAUAUCAAAGCACUAAAUUUUCAGUUGAAUACUGUAGUGGCACGCCAAGAGGAAAUUCUUAAGAAAAUGCAACUUCUUGUUAGCCCAUCGUCGUCAAGGUUAGAGGUGGAUGAGCUAAUUGGAGAAAGCCAAAGAGAAGAGGAUUAGGAGGUCCUCAGAUCAAGGUGUAGAAGUGAGAGUUCAAUGAAGACUAAUUGCAAGCUUUAUUGGUACUUUGGAAGAAACCUCUAUGUAUCUGCCUUAGUUUAGAAUAGGAGUAAUAUUUAUUACUAUAUUUCAGUUAGAUUUUUUUUGUGUUGGACUUGUUUUACUUUUCUUUGCUUUGUGAGGAAAUAUUACCUCAGUACAGUUUUAGUUUUUUAAUUGUAUGAUUGUGGGUGAAUUUUAUCAA